ACCGCGACUCUGCCUUUUAGUUAAGUUCAGGUGUAAUUUCUGUUUUUAUCAGUUUAAUAUCUGAUACGCUCCUUAUUUAGAGACCAUAUAUUACAUGAAUUUUUACUAAGCUAGAAGAGGAUCUUACUCUGUCCACUCGAUACAUUGAUCUGGUAUUGCAGUGCUUCCAGGUCCGGUACACAAAUA